AGUGAACGCUGGCGGUAGGCCUAACACAUGCAAGUCGAACGGCAGCACAGUAAGAGCUUGCUCUUACGGGUGGCGAGUGGCGGACGGGUGAGGAAUACAUCGGAAUCUACUUUUUCGUAGGGGAUAACGUAGGGAAACUUACGCUAAUACCGCAUACGACCUACGGGUGAAAGCAGGGGAUCUUCGGACCUUGCGCGAUUGAAUGAGCCGAUGUCGGAUUAGCUAGUUGGCGGGGUAAAGGCCCACCAAGGCGACGAUCCGUAGCUGGUCUGAGAGGAUGAUCAGCCACACGGGAACUGAGACACGGUCCAGACUCCUACGGGAGGCAGCAGUGGGGAAUAUUGGACAAUGGGCGCAAGCCUGAUCCAGCCAUACCGCGUGGGUGAAGAAGGACUUCGGGUUGUAAAGCCCUUUUGUUGGGAAAGAAAAGCAGCAGGUUAAUACCCCGCUGUUCUGACGGUACCCAAAGAAUAAGCACCGGCUAACUUCGUG
rnacentral:rRNA from 1 species